UAAGACCCCAGAAAGACUAUCUGGUUGAUAGGUCGAAGGUGUAAGUGCAGCAAUGUAUUUAGCUUAUCGAUACUAAUAGGUCGAGGACUUGACCAA
rnacentral:rRNA from 1 species